rnacentral:rRNA from 1 species
UACGUAGGUGGCAAGCGUUGUCCGGAUUUACUGGGCGUAAAGCGCACGUAGGCGGAUCGUUAAGUCGGGGGCGAAAUCCUGGAGCUCAACUCCAGAACUGCCUUUGAUACUGGCGAUCUUGAGUCCGGAAGAGGUGAGUGGAACUCCUAGUGUAGAGGUGGAAUUCGUAGAUAUUAGGAAGAACACCAGUGGCGAAGGCGGCUCACUGGUCCGGUACUGACGCUGAGGUGCGAAAGCGUGGGGAGCAAACAGG